rnacentral:rRNA from 1 species
UCCGUAGGCGGUGCGGCAAGUCGAUAGUGAAAUCCCUGGGCUUAACUCAGGGGCUGCUAACGAAACUGCCGUGCUAGAGUGUGAGAGAGGCGAGUGGAAUUACGGGUGUAGCGGUGAAAUGCGUAGAUAUUCGUAGGAACAUCCGAGGCGAAAGCGGCUCGCUGGAUCACAACUGACGCUGAGGGACGAAAGCUAGGGGAGCAAACAGGAUUAGAUACCCUGGUAGUCCUAGCCCUAAACCAUCAGGACUUGGGGUUUGCCCUGUACGGGGCAAGUCCCGUAGCUAACGCGUUAAGUCCUGCGCCUGGGGAGUACGGUCGCAAGGCUGAA